UGUGUGUGUUCUAUGUAUACGUAAUAUAUGUAUGUGUGUGUUCUGUGUAAAUGGGUGUGUGUAUAUAUAUGUAAAUGGGUGUGUGUGUGUUCUGUGUAUACGUAAUAUAUGUAUGUGUGUGUUGUGUAAAUGGGUAUGCGUAUAUAUAUGUAAAUGGGUGUAUGUGUGUGUUCUGUGUAUGUGUAUAUAUAUAAAUGGGUGUGUGUAUAUAUGUAAAUGGGUUUUCUCUCUCACCUCCCCUUCUCUCUCUCUCUUUCAAAAGCUUAUUGAAGCUGGGGCAAAUAUUUUGAUGUUUGAUUCAAGCCAUGGGAGGACCUGUUUGCACUAUGCUGCUUAUUAUGGCCAUUCUGAUUGCCUACAGGCCAUUCUCUCUGCUUCCUGUUCUUCCCGUAUUGUUGCCUCUUGGUGGGUCGUUCUAUUGUAUUGGAUUUCAGGGAUUAUGCCCGGUUUGUAAAUAUUAGAGAUGAUAAAGGAGCAACACCUUUGCACUUGGCGGCUCGACAAAGACGAUCGGAAUGCGUCCAUAUUCUCUUAGACAAUGGAGGUCUGGUCUGUGCUUCAAUUGGUUGUUAUGGCUUCCCGGGAAGCACUCUUCUCCAUUUGGCCGCUAGAGGGGGUUCUCUUGAUUGCAUCCGUGAAUUGUUGGCUUGGGGCGCCAACCGACUUCAAAGAUUGUGUUUGUAUAAUUCUAAUAUUUUAUUGAUAUUGUUUAUCAUGUUAUUUGAGAGAUCAUAGUAAACUCAAUUAAAUUUUUGUAUGGAUUAUUUUUUUAUUAAUUAAA